GUGGCUGUCUUCACCGAUGGCUGCGUUUGCUAGAAAUGGAAUGCAGCCGUAAGCAGCCACAAACAGCGAAGCAAAUGGUUCCUGCCGACAGUGUCUGCAGAGUUAUCAGAUGUUCUGUGCGAUGGUUCCAUACAUU
rnacentral:snoRNA from 1 species